rnacentral:pre_miRNA from 1 species
UAAGGGGAGGUGACAGAAGAGAGUGAGCACACAUGGUGGCUUUCUUGCAUGCUUUUUUCAAUUAGGGUUUCAUGCUUGAAGCUAUGUGUGCUUACUCUCUCUCUGUCACCCCUUCUCUCU